CUGUGCUCUUCUCCGCCGAUGCUGCCAGACCUGCUGAGUUUUUCCAGGAAUCCAAUGUUAGACCUCCAUUCAUGAUGUCAAGCUGUGCGAGCAUCACAGAUGACAUGGCGUCUGCCCCAGCAGCCAUUGUGAACAGAAUUAAGAACUGAGGAGAGAUCAGAAGCCUCACAACUAACUGAAGAAGUUGGAAUGAGUGGGCUGCAUGAUGGGGAAAGUUACAGAAACUACAGCCUCAGAGAGGCAAUGCCUCUUCAAGUUCUGUGUUACAGAGACAAAAACAAAAAUACCUGGAAAAACUCAGCAGGUCUGACAGCAUCUGCGGAGAGGAAUACAGUU